rnacentral:rRNA from 1 species
AUUGAACGCUGGCGGCAUGCCUUACACAUGCAAGUCGAACGGUAACAGGUCUUCGGAUGCUGACGAGUGGCGAACGGGUGAGUAAUACAUCGGAACGUGCCUAGUAGUGGGGGAUAACUACUCGAAAGAGUGGCUAAUACCGCAUGAGAUCUAUGGAUGAAAGCAGGGGAUCGCAAGACCUUGUGCUACUAGAGCGGCCGAUGGCAGAUUAGGUAGUUAGUGGGAUAAAAGCUUACCAAGCCGACGAUCUGUAGCUGGUCUGAGAGGACGAUCAGCCACACUGGGACUGCGAAACUGCCCAGACUCCUUCGGGAGGCAGCAGUGGGGAAUUUUGGACAAUGGGCGAAAGCCUGAUCCAGCAAUGCCGCGUGCAGGAUGAAGGCCUUCGGGUUGUAAACUGCUUUUGUACGGAACGAAAAGCCCCGGGUUAAUACCCUGGGGUCAUGACGGUACCGUAAGAAUAAGCACCGGCUAACUACGUGCCAGCCGCCGCGGUAA